UCUACGGGUGGCAGCAGUGGGGAAUAUUGGACAAUGGGCGAAAGCCUGAUCCAGCCAUGCCGCGUGUGUGAAGAAGGCCUUCGGGUUGUAAAGCACUUUCAGUGGGGAAGAAAGCCUUGGGGCUAAUACCCUCGAGGAAGGACAUCACCCACAGAAGAAGCACCGGCUAACUCCGUGCCAGCAGCCGCGGUAAUACGGAGGGUGCGAGCGUUAAUCGGAAUUACUGGGCGUAAAGCGCGCGUAGGCGGUCUGAUAAGCCGGUUGUGAAAGCCCCGGGCUCAACCUGGGAACGGCAUCCGGAACUGUCAGGCUAGAGUGCAGGAGAGGAAGGUAGAAUUCCCGGUGUAGCGGUGAAAUGCGUAGAGAUCGGGAGGAAUACCAGUGGCGAAGGCGGCCUUCUGGACUGACACUGACGCUGAGGUGCGAAAGCGUGGGUAGCAAACAGGAUUAGAUACCCUUGUAGUC
rnacentral:rRNA from 1 species